rnacentral:rRNA from 1 species
CUACGGGAGGCUCCAGUGAGGAAUUUUGCGCAAUGGGGGAAACCCUGACGCAGCAACGCCGCGUGAGCGAAGAAGGCCUUCGGGUCGUAAAGCUCUGUCAAGUGGGAAAAAAAUUCUUUGAUGAACAGUCAAAGGACUUGAUGGUACCACUGGAGGAAGCACCGGCUAACUCCGUGCCAGCAGCCGCGGUAAUACGGAGGGUGCAAGCGUUGUUCGGAAUUACUGGGCGUAAAGAGCGUGUAGGCGGUUUGACAAGUCAGAUGUGAAAGCCCCGGGCUCAACCCGGGAAGUGCAUUUGAAACUGUUUCACUAGAGUAUGGGAGAGGAGAUUGGAAUUCCUGGUGUAGAGGUGAAAUUCGUAGAUAUCAGGAGGAACACCCGUGGCGAAGGCGAUUCUCUGGACCAAUACUGACGCUGAGACGCGAAAGCGUGGGGAGCAAACAGGAUUAGAUACCCCUGUAGUC